UGUAACCUAGGAUCAAAGUUUGUUAAUUUUUUAUGUUCAAGACCAUUCUUUUGCAAUUUAUUCACUUUGAUUAUGGAAGCAUAGCAUGGUUAUUUUAUCAUGAUGGUGGACCAUGAUAACAAAAGUAAUUGAAUGUUCACUAAGGGAUAUAUUGGAACCUAAGUUCAAAAUUUGUUAAUAUUUUAUGUUCGAAACCAUGCUUUUGAAAAUUCUUAAUAUUGGGUAUGGAAGCAUAGCCUGGUUAUUUUAUCAUGAUGGCAGACCAUGAUAGCAAAGGUAAUUUGCAUGUUGAGUAAGGGAAAUAUUGGAACAUAAAUUCAAAGUUUAUUAAUUUUUUAUGUUCAAGACCAUGCUUUUGCAAAUUAUUAAUAUUCGUUAUGGAAACAUAGCAAGGUUCAUUUAUCAAGACGGUUGACCAUGAUAGGAAAGGUAAAUGCAUGUUGACUAAGGGAUAUAUUGGAAGAUAAGUUCAAAGUUUGUUAAGUUUUUAAGUUCAUGACCAUGCAUUUGCAAAUUAUUAAAAUUGGUCAUGGAAGCAUAGUAUGGUUAUUUUAUCAUGAUGGUGGACCAUGAUUGGAAAGGUAAAUAUUGCAUGUUGAGUAUGGGAUAUUUUGGAAGAUAAGAUCAAAGUUUGUUAACUUUUUAUGUUGUUGACCAUGCUUUUGCAAAUUGUUAAUAUUGGUUAUGAAAGCAUAGCAUGGUUAUUUUAUAAUGAUGGUGGACCAUGAUAGCAAAGGUAAUUGCAGGUUGAGUAAGGGAAAUAUUGGAAGAUAAGUUCAAAGUUUGCUAAUUUAUUAUGUUCAAAACCAUGCUUUUGUAAACUCUUAAUAUUGGUUAUGGAAGCAUAGCAUGGUUCUUUUAUCAUGAUGGUGGACCAUGAUAUCAAAGGUAAUUGCAUGUUGAGUAAAGGAUAUAUUGGAACCUAAGAUCAAAGUUUGUUAAUUUUUUGUGUCCAAAACCAUGCUUUUGCAAAUUCUUAAUAUUGGUUAUCGAAGCACAGCAUGGUUAUUUUAUCAUGAUAGUGGACCAUGACAGCAAAGAGAAUUGCAUGUUGAGCAAUGGAAAUAUUGGAAGAUAAAUUCAAAGUUUAUUAAUUUUUUAUGUUCAAGACGAUUCUUUUGCAAAUUAUCAAUAUUUUCUAUUGAAGGAUAGCAUGGUUCUUUUAUCAUGAUGGUUGACCAUGGUAGGAAAGGUAAUUGCAUGUUCAGUAAGGGAUAUAUUGGAAGAUAAGUUCAAAGUUUGUUAAGCUUUUAAGUUCAUGACCAUGCAUUUGCAAAUUAUUAAAAUUGGUCACGCAAGCAUAGUAUGGUUAUUUUAUCAUGAU